CCAAAUACUUUCUGAGGAGUGGAGACGGUACCACAGACCAAACUUCUUGAACUGAUACCGGCCCGCUGUUCUGGGCAGAUGUCAGAGGGCACUUUCUUGUUUGCUGGAGAUCCCUGUAUUCCUGGGACUGGAAACUGGAAAAUACAGAAGCCAGGUGAGCCAAAAUCCCCAAAGAUUCUCCCUGCUCACCUCAGAAAUGUUGCCAGCACUGCUGGUGGACAGCACACAGAGCUGUGCUUCUAACAGACUUCCUUCUUGAUCAAGGAUGGAGGGGAAACGUUGCCUUCUUACACACGCAGAUAAAGGAACAGAAAACAUAGAGAUUCCUUCUAAGGUGUUCAUGAGUCACCCUUUUACCUUUGAGCUUCAGUUUUUAAUUUAAAGGAAGUUUUAGCCUUGAUGACUCUUAAGAAAAACAUGAGAACAUGACCUGACAAUAUUAAAUACAUGUGAAACCCUUGAAACAACAGUUUACCUGAAGCUCAGACAGACAUGCUGCAGUGGGAUUGUGACUAAGAGCUGUACUGCUCUGCAGAUCACAUUUCCUCCUGGCUAUUCAGCUAGUGCUGAAGCAACAGGAGUACAGCAGGCCCAGGCCUGGCACUGAUCAUGUGUACUUUGGCUCCAACUGCUUGAAACCUCCAAAGGCAUCUUCUACUCUAGAUGGAAGCAAAGGUCUCCUGAUGGCAUAAAAUCUUCUGCUGCUAUUCUGCCUUUCUGGUUGAUGACUCUUGUGCACAUGUCCCAGAGCAGGAGUAAGGGUACAGGUAUAGGUGGCAUAAAAUGGAGGUAUGCUUACAGCCACAGACCAAUUGAUUCUGAGAAUGCUGGUAUUUUUAAUAGGAAUAAUUUAUGGGUUUUAUCCACCAGGAUUAGUUUUGCUUUUAUUUGAAAUUAGGUUCUUUUUGUACUUCGGUGUUUGAAGAACACUUUCCACCAUUCCACUAGAUGUAUUCUUUUGCAUUAAAUCUCAAGCAUGAA